rnacentral:misc_RNA from 1 species
GUACACGUACACAGCAACAGCUGCCGCCGCCGCUGCAGCAGCGACACCCCUUUCAGCCUGCCUGCGGCCUCUGGUGUCCACCGUCUCCCCCCUCUCUUUUGCCCUUCGGUGCUUCGCCUUGGCGCCCUACUCGUCAAGAUCGUCAAGUGCGCCAGUGCGGUGGGCGCAUCGCUCUCCCUGUCGCUAUAUCGCCGCUCUCCUCCUCCCUCUCCGUGCUCGACGGCAUCUCGCAUCUCCGAUGUCCGACCACGCCGACAUCGACGAGGCGGCCCGCAAGCGUUUGCGGGCGGAGGCUCCGUCCGCCUCUCCUCUUCCUCCUCCUCCUGCAGCACCGCUUCUUCCCUGUGACGCAUCGCACAACGGGGAGUCGGCAGUGGCGGCCGGCCACAUCCUGGUGGCCUCGGCCGCCCCUCACAAGGAGGGCAGCAUUACGUCGACGUUACACACAAGCUCCAAGGAGGCCCGCUUCGAGGGCCGCUGCAUGCCGCCGUCUUUCCACUCGCUUCUGGGCGAGUACGAGGUGCCAGAGGAGGCGAAGGAUGUAGAAGACCUCGUGGGUGGCCACGAGGACUUCAGCGACCUCCCCGAGGCCCGCCGCGAGGCGCUCCUGCAGUCCGUGCGCACGCUGGUAAAGAAGGCGGCGGGGGCCAGCUCCGCGGAGCAGCUCGAGCACCUGCGUGUGAAGGCGUCGCGCCUGCACGGCUUCAAGGACACGGCGCGCAAGUCAGAGCUGACAGCGGCAUACAGGCAGCUCGUCCGCGAAGGCGCCGUUGGCGAGAACGCCGCCGUCGAGGCGCUGCUCGUUCGCAAGAAAGGAAAGUCGCACAGUGGAGUGCUCGUGGUGACGGUGUUCAUGGGCCCUGGCGAGUUCAGCUGCCCCAAGGACUGUCACUACUGCCCCAACCAGCCCGGCAUCGCCCGCAGCUACUUGCUGAAGGAGCCGGGCGUGCUGCGCGGCUUCCGCAACGGCUGGGACCCUAUCAGCCAGUUCUACGACCGCGCCAGCGCGCUGGAGAACAACGGGCAUGUCGUGGACAAGAUCGAGCUCAUCAUCCUUGGCGGUACGUUCUCUUUCUACCCCCAGCGCUACGCCGAGGAGUUUAUGACGGCAUCUUUCUACGCCGCUAACACGUACUACGACUCGGCGCCGCUGCGGCCAAUGCGCAGCUUGGCGGAGGAGCUGACGAUGAACGAGGACGCGCGGUGCCGCAUCAUUGGCAUCACGGUAGAGACGCGGCCCGACUACAUCAGCGCACGCGAGCUGCGCCGCUUUCGCUCCCUCGGCGUAACACGCGUGCAGCUCGGCAUCCAGCACCUCGACGAUGACAUCCUGAACAUCAUCAACCGCGACUGCCCCACGGCGAAGACCGUCGUCGCGAUCCAGCGGCUGCUGGACGCCGGAUUCAAGGUGGAUGCGCACUGGAUGCCCGACCUGCCGGGGAGCAGCUUUGAGAAGGACAUGGCGCUCUUCGAGACGCUUUUCUCAGCUGAGAACGAGUCGUUCCAGGUGGACCAAUGGAAGGUGUACCCCACCGCCACGGUGCCCUUCACCAAAAUCAGCGAGUGGUACGCGCAGGGUAAAUACAAGCCCUAUGCGGAGCUGGAUAACGGUGCCUACAUGGUGAAGCUGCUGGUCUACAUCAUGGAGCACUGCCCGUACCGCAUCCGGCUCAACCGCAUUAUCCGCGAUAUCCCGACGACGUACAUCAUGGGCGGGGAGAAGCGAUGCAACCUGCGCCAGGUGAUCGAGGCUGAGAUGCGCGCACGCCACAUCCGAUGCAAGGACAUCCGCGAGCGCGAAUGCAAGGGCAACCCGGUCGACCGGGCCAACACCCACCUCUUCACGGACGAGUUCCGCGCCAGCGAGGGGACAGAGUUCUACCUCUCCGUGGAGAACAAAGAUCGCACGCAGCUGUACGGGCAUCUCCGCCUGCGACUGCGCGACGACGCGUCAAGGGAGGAAAGCAACAUCCUGCCGGUGCUCCGGGGCUGUGCUCUCAUUCGCGAACUGCACACGUACGGCAAGCUCAUCGCCGUCAGCCAGCAGAACACCGGACGCGAGACGCAGCACGUUGGCGUCGGGACGCAACUCAUGCGGGAGGCCGAGCGCAUCGCCAAGGAGCGUGGCUACUACCGCACGGCCGUAAUUGCCGGCGUUGGUGUACGCCGCUACUACGCAAAACUCGGCUAUCGGCUCGAGGACACCUACAUGGUGAAGGAGCUGGAUGAACAGGCGAGCGCCAUCACGGAGGAUCAGGUGGUGCAGGACGACGACAACGAGAACUCAGCUUACAGCAGCUUCCUGAGCACCAUCAAGUCCUUCUUUGGGUUCCAGACGACAACACCCAGAAGAGAAGAAUCCGCGUGAGCGAAAGGGGAGGGCAGUGACGCGGCACGGCCAACGGCGGGCUUCCCCUCUCUCGCCCAACUCUGCUGAUAUGGAGGCUUAUGUAGCGUGCACUCUCACGAGUGUCUCUGCAGAUCCGGCUGCUGUGUCGCCCUUCCCUCUCUAGCAGUUGCCCUGUAGCUCACUCGCCCACCCUCCCCUCUGGACGUCUGCGAGCAGACGUGCUUGCCCCGCCGCCUCUUGUCUCUGUCUUUGUGCCCUCUGCCAUUUUUCCCGACUGUGCCAGAUGGGCGGCCCAUCGUCGAGUAAGCGCUGUCAUGCCGCUAACACUGAAGAGGUGCACAACAACGUGUGUUCUGCGGAGUUUGACCGUCGAGGCUCUCUCACUUGCUUCGCUGCUUCCGCUUCGCUAUCCUCUUCGCUCGCACAUCACGGCAGCUGCAGCUAUCUUGCCAGCCGAGGAGGGGGCGGUAUCGAGAGAGAGAGAGAGAGCUGGUCACGACCUUGUGACCGUGUCGCCUGCCUCCUCUGCUUCCUCCUCCUCCCCCCCCCCCCCCCCCCCGAAAGUGCUUCGGGCACAGGCGGCAGGUCUGGUGCACCGACCUCGCCCACCACCGCCUCGCUGCGCUGUGUUUGGUGAGGGGAUGGAACGGCUAGCCGCACCCGAUGUUGCCAGUGCCCAUGUGUGGUAUAUCCGUGCUUGCGGGGCUUUGCCGUCCACUUCCUUGUCUUCACCGCACACCCGCGCAGGCGGCUACCACGUUGGCGUGCUCGCCAACAGCGCGUCAACGAGCCUUCUCUCUUCCCCUUUGCUCUCCCCCGAUCGCCAUCCGCUAUGCCGCUCAG